AACGCGAAGAACCUUACCUGGGCUCGAACGGCUUCGGAAAGCCGGUGGAAACACUGGUUCUCCCGCAAGGGAUCGGAGUCGAGGUGCUGCAUGGCUGUCGUCAGCUCGUGUCGUGAGAUGUUGGGUUAAGUCCCGCAACGAGCGCAACCCUUGUCCUGUGUUGGCAUGCCGAAAGGCGCAACUCUCAGGAGACCGCCAGCGAUAAGUUGGAGGAAGGUGGGGAUGACGUCAAGUCAUCAUGGCCUUUAUGUCCAGGGCUACACACGUGCUACAAUGGGCGGUACAAAGCGCUGCAAACCCGCGAGGGGGAGCUAAUCGCAAAAAACCGUUCUCAGUUCGGAUUGCAGGCUGCAACUCGCCUGCAUGAAGCUGGAAUCGCUAGUAAUGGCAUAUCAGAACGAUGCCGUGAAUACGUUCCCGGGCCUUGUA
rnacentral:rRNA from 1 species